CGAAUGGGCACCCGGCCGCAUCUAGCGGCGCCGCCUGCGGUCGCCCAGCCCUUGCCGCGCCUGCGCGCCAUACACCGCCGUCGGGGCGCCGCUCCCGGGCCCUGUGUGCGCUUCGCGGCGCUUCCGGCCGCUGCAAUGCACCGCGCACUGCGCCGGGGCCUCGCGGCUUCGCCCCCUGUCGGACGGCCUGCUUCCACCGUGGUCGUUUGCCCGGUCGCCCCGCCGUCGCACCAUUCGCCCCGGCCGGUGUCGUUACAGACGGAGGCGGAUCAGAUUCCACUCCAGAUCCUGAUAGUAUAUGCCUUUGGUUGGUUCGCACGCUUUGCAAUCUGAAUACUGCACACCAGGAGCAAAAACUUACCUUUUGAAGAGAAGAAAUCAUAUCUCGUUCCGCUCUUCGGCGCUUGAUUGAUUCUUCAUAUGCUUCCUUCUUCGAGAGUUCAGCUUCACUGAGAAGUCUAUCAUAUAGGUCAGCAUCAACACCUGGAUUCACCUGCGCGAACAGCAGAUGGUACAUGCCAGCUCACGAGAAGGAGUUGAAAAGUUCUCAUCAUCAGGUUCUCCCAUUUGAUGACGCGUCGCUGAUCCAGAGAUAGUGGCUGCAUCAUCAUUUCUUGAUGGAUCAUACCAGGAGCUUCGCGAUCUCCUCCCAAGUUCAUCCCAGGAAUCGAUAGAACUCCUUGGUGUCACGGUAGACUUUCCAUUGAUGUUAAGUUCAAAGGGCUCGUAUAGCCGAGACGGUGUACUGGUUGCUCCUUGAGAGAGAUAUUGUGCCACUUCUGUUCUCGAUCUUCCCAGAUCAUGUCUUGGGCUUCCAUUUGAGCUUGACGCCUCACUCUCCGAGUGGUGGAUUGUCAUCGAUCUCGUAUGAGUAGAAGGGCUGCUUGCUGAUGACGUUGAUGCAACCGUAUGUGCUGGUGACAAUGGUACUGCAGGAACAGUUGUAUACGCUUCCCUACAGUGGUCAGAGCUUUAAACUACCAAAAUAGCUUGUGAAAGGCACUAGCACUAUAACUAUCAGACAAUAAUACAAGACAAACAAAUGAGGAGGCUUUCACAUUGGAGUCGGCUGGGGCACAAGCUCAAACUUGGCCUGCAGAGGCAGAUGGAAUUUCCUUUUGGACCGGUGCAAAUGGGAGGUGGGUGCGGCAGCUCAGCUAGCAUAGAAUGAGCAGAUAUCGCUAAGCUUGCGGCAGUAGCUCAGAAGACGAGACAUAACUGAUGUGCAUGACAACAUGAGAAAUCUUUAGCAGUUAUUCAGAGAUAGGAACCUCAGGAUUGGCAGUCAGCUCUCUGCUCGCCAGAGAUAGCCAACGACAAAGCAUAUCCAUUCAUUUGAGAAACUGCGAACUCAACUAGAUGGAAAACGGCAGGCAGCAUCUAAACUUAUCUGUAAAUCACCCAAAGAAAGCAGGCGUUAAGGAGGCCUUACUCAUGGGGAUCAUCUGUGCGGGGCAGUGGACGUGAGCGAUCACGACGCCGGCGCCGUCCUUGGCCAGGUUCUCCACCGCCCACAGCAUGGUGCUCUUCCCGUGCCUGAUAUCCUCGGGGACGGCCACGAAAACCCUUUCCACCGGCGGCGGGCUCGCCUCCUCCACCUCACCGUGGCUGCUCACCGACGUCCUGAAGCUGUACUGCGAAGACGUGUCCCACCGCCUGUGCGCCGCACCACCGGCGCCCUCCAUCCUUCCAGCCGUUGUUGGCGCUUGACACGGAGACGGUUGGGGGUGCAGUGAGUUGCAUGAGAUCUCUUUAUCCUUGCCCUGUUGUGUUGCUUGGUUCGUUGGCUAUGUGCUUCGUGAUUGACCCAGGUGAAGUCAACUCUUCUUGAAUUAUACCUUCUCGGUAUGCGUUUUCAGAUACCGAGAACUCUCGGUUUGUCUGUCCGAUAAUAAAAAAAAGUUGAUAGUUGUCUCGUUCCUGGAUUGUACUGUUCAUGAACUUGAUUUUUCUCCAACUAAUCAAUUGAAUGUCGGCGAUGACCGCGUGCCACGCA